rnacentral:sRNA from 1 species
GAAAUGCCCCGAAGUAGAAAUCCUUUUUGUUUUUUCUUUAAAAACAAAAGAUUGCAACGAAUUGCUUCGC